AGGGUCUGGCUCUGUCACCAAGGCUGGAAGGCAGGGGCACAAUCUCAGUGCACAAGCUCACUGCAACCUCUGCCUCCUGGGCUCAAGCUAUGCUCUCACCUCAGCCACCACACCCGGCUAAUUUUUUUUUUUUUUUUUUUUUUUUUUUGUAGAGACGGAGUUUUACCAUGUUGCCCAGGCUGGUCCCAAAUUCCUGAGCUCAAGCAACCCACCCGUUUUGGCUUCCCAAAGUGCUGGGCUUACAGGCAUGAACCACCACGCCCGGCCCAUCUGAUCCUUUUUACAUUUUAAAAAUGUGUGGCCUGGCGUGGUGGUUCACGCCUGUAAUCCCAACACUUUGGGAGGCCGAGGCGGGCGGACUAAGAGGUCAGGAUAUCGAGACUAUCCUGGCUAACAUGGUGAAACCCCGUCUCUACUCAAAAUGCAAAAAAGAAAAUUAGCCGGGCGUGGUGGCGAGCACCUGUAGUCCCAGCUACUCCAGAGGCUGAGGCAGGAGAAUGGUGUGAACCCGGGAGGCGGAGGUUGCAGUGAGCCGAGAUAGCGCCACUGCACUCCAGCCUGGGCGACAGAGCAAGACUAGUCUCAAAAAAAAAAAAAAAAAAAGUGGCUAGGCCGAGCGCUGUGGCUCACGCCUGUAAUGCCAGCACUUUGGGAGGCUGAGACAGGCGGAUCACGAGCUCAAGAGAUCGACACCAUCCUGGCUAACACGGUGAAACCCCGUCUCUACUAAAAAUACAAAAGAUUAGCCGGGCGUGGUGGCCGGCGCCUGUAGUCCCAGCUACUCAGGAGGCUGAGGCAGAAGAAAGGCGUGAACCCAGGAGGCAGAGCUUGCAGUGAGCCGAAAUCGAGCCACUGCACUCCAGCCAGGGUGACAAAGAGAGAGUCUCAAAAAAUAAAUAAAUAAAUAUAUAUAUAUGGCUACUAGUACAUUUUUAAUUACAUGUGUAGCUUGCAUUUGUGGUUCAUAUUAUAUUCCAAUUGGACAGUAUUGCCUCUAAUGCUUGUUUAAAAUGUGGUUUUUUGGGUCCCACUUUUGAACAUUAUGCUUUCAAGGUUCCAGGUUUGGGCCCAGAAAUCUGACAUUUUUUAGCUUACCAGAUUUUAACUGGUAAGUCAGGGUAAGGAAUCACUGUUUUAUAUGGCUUUUGACCAGGUGAUGUUUGUGGUCUUCAGAAUGGCAGAAACUCUUAUCUCUACGAAAAAUACAAAAAAAUUACAGGCCGUGAUGGCGCGUGCCUGUAGUCCCAUAUGGUUGGUGGGCUGAGGCAGAAGGAUCACUUGAUCCCAAGAGGUUACAGUGAACGGAGAUAGAGCCACUGCACUCCAGCCUGGGUGACAAAGUGAGGCCUUGUCUGGAAAAAAAAGUCAUCUAUAUGUACUGAUAUGCAAAGAUGUUUAUGAUAUUUACAAGAAGGACAAAUAAGUUGCAGAACAUAUAGAUCCCAUUUGUAUGUGAAAAACGAAGUACAUAUAUUUGCACUUGCAUAGGAAGUCUCGAAAACUGUUAACAAUGGUAUUGCUGAAGAGUACAACUAGGGAGAAGAUUCCCAGGCAUGUGGAAAGAUAUUCUCACUAUGCUUUUUUUGUUAACUCUUUUUAAACUUUUUUUUAAUACAAUAGAGACAGGGUCUUGGGCUCAAUCCUCCCACCUCAGCCUCCAAAAGUGCUGUCAUUACAGGCAUAAGCCACCACACCCGGCCUACUUUGCUUCUUAUAUCCUUUUGUACUGUAUUGUUUGUUUUACUAUUUACUAUGAGCAAUAUGCAAAUUUAUGUUAGACAUUACAAAGUAAUAUAAAAACCGACAAAAUGCCCGGCCCAGUCAAUACUUCAUCAUAUAGGUUCCUGUUAGAGAAAAGUGCUUUUCACUACUACCUUUGAAUGUGAAGUUUGAUCUUCAUUCUAAUUUUCUAAAAAGCCACCGAAUGUAUUUGUUCACUCAUUCCAUUUAUUCAACCAUUACCGACAACCUACUUAAUGCUAGGCACUGUUCUAAGAAAAAAUAAACAGCAGAGCACAAAAUCAGAUGUGUUCCUCCCACACUCUAGCAGAAUCGGACCAUAAUCAAAUGCACACAUAAACAACUUUAAUAAGUAGUGCUUUGAAAUACAGAAGUGAAGAACGACCUGAAUUUUCAAAUACUGAAAUGUUCAAAUGUCGUGCACACACACACACGCAGACAUAUUCACUCAAACAUGCUAAUCAAUGAAAGCACUGCUUUUGAAUUUUGUUUGUCGUCUGGAUAAAGUAUUCAGGAAUACUUCUUAAAUUAAUCUUUCUCUCGUUUUCAAUAUAACUAAUUGAGUACAAAGAAGUUAAAACUUAGCAAAGCAUUUCAGCUGUGUGACCUUAGGCAAAUUACCUGGCUGUUUUAAGCCUGUUUUCUCCUCUGCGAAAUGGAGUAUUGAACCUCACGUUCGCUGUUUGAGGGAGACUUGCAUGGUCACGUUUAGUGUAACCGGAUGCCUGGCACGAGGAAGCGUGAGGAGGAAUGGGUCCCCAUGGGGCCUUGAUGCCCGCCCUGAGGCCCUGCAGGGCUGCACGCCGGGUCUGUUCUCACGUGGCGCUUUCCGCUUUUUCACCCAAGCGUUUCUGUCAGCCCACUGCCCUCUCCCGGAGUGCUGCGGCCAGGGCUCGCCCGCUCCUCAAGCGGCCUCCGCUGGGGGCCCACUACAGCCCAGCGCCGGACAGCCAGCCCGGCUUCUCGAAUCGGUCCUUAGCUGAGGCCGCCCUGCGCUGCAAAACUUGUGUCCACUCUCGGACCCAAUCUGUCCUGGACGCACUUGGCUCGUGGCAGGCGAAAGCGUCGUUUCCAACUGCAGCUGUUUGAAUUCUGGCGCCACACCCGCGCCACGUAGGGCCAAGUCGGCCGCCAGACUCGCAAGCGCGCCUCGCAGUGCGCCUGCGGGCGCGCGCCGGGAACUGGCCGGGCGCGCGGCCGGCCUGCGGCGCGCUCCACAACGCGGAACGGGCCUCAGAAAAGCCGCCGCGCGCGCUCCCGCUAAUUCGUGACCACACCCCUGUCUACUUCCAUGUCCAAUAGGUGCGAGAGGGCGGGAUGGCCUCGUUCUGACUCCGGGAGGCUAUAUAAGGAGCUACUGGCUGCACCUGUCGGUCUUUUACGUCGGCCUCCGCGAGCGUUUGGUAGUGUGGUAGGUGAGUGGGUGUUGCGGGCUAGUACCCGAGCAAAAGAUGGUGGCGCAGGCCGAGUUAAGAGCUUUAAUCCUGUGAAGCCAUCUUGGUGAAGAGCUUAGAGUGCUGAGAGUUGAAAGCUUGCACGUGGGAAACGUGCGGCGCGACCGCCACAUGUACUGAGGUUGAAUCGUGACGGCCACAGGCUCCGAGUUUUGGCGUGAGGAGACCGCUGAUCGGCUACGGGCGCCGAACUUGCUGGCCUCAGGCAUGUGCCUGAGCGGCGGCGGAAAAACCACCUCAGUUGGGGCGGAGGGUUAGUUUUAAGAGCAAGGGGCCUUUACUAAAAUGGCGAAGGCCUUCCGUCGGCGUUGUUUUAAAAUGGGAAGCCUCGACCCAGUAUUGAGACAGCUGUUCGAAGGCGGCGUUGUGUGCAAUUCGGAUUAAUGAAGGGGAAGGGUUUUGUGUGGAAAAACACCUUGGAGUGUGACAUUUCUGCGAGAAUGCUUAAAUACCGAUUUCCCGCAGGAACAAUGGCGCUGUCUUCAGUGGCACAGCGGAGCAGUUCUGUGAAGAUGCAAAGAUACACGAAAAAAAUUCCAGAACAUCUGGGAGAAUAUUUAAUGGAAAAUCGCUUGGUUAAAACCUGACACUUAACAGCAUUCUGAGUGUGGACGAGUAGCCAGUGAAGAUAAUGAAUGUCGGAUGUCACUGACUAGCAGCUUCAUUUUGAAUGAGGGUCGCUGUCUGCCCAUUGAUAGAGGCCAGAUUGUCUUGGAAGUUCCAAAGUUGCAACGAUUUCUGGCUAGUGCCACGAGGUUUACUUGACUGUUGUGUGAAAAGCUGAUAAGAAAACCAUCCAGAAAACAGCUCUUCGUUUUACAAACAUGAAAAUAAAACAUGUAAUUUU